rnacentral:rRNA from 1 species
UACGUAGGGCGCGAGCGUUGUCCGGAAUUAUUGGGCGUAAAGAGCUCGUAGGCGGUUUGUCGCGUCUGCUGUGAAAACGCGAGGCUCAACCUCGCGCCUGCAGUGGGUACGGGCAGACUAGAGUGCGGUAGGGGAGACUGGAAUUCCUGGUGUAGCGGUGAAAUGCGCAGAUAUCAGGAGGAACACCGGUGGCGAAGGCGGGUCUCUGGGCCGUAACUGACGCUGAGGAGCGAAAGCGUGGGGAGCGAACAGG